UCGAGUGUUUAUCGCAUGCGCGUCGCAAAUGUGAAUUUCGUGUGCGCUUCUUGCAUUUGCCGACUAUCGUCCAGCUUUAGCCUUUAAUAGUAGCUUUUCGUUGCUUUCCGCUCGCUCGAUUGCUUGUAGCCGCUCGCCACUGGCUAUUUGCGAUUAUACGUUGGCGCCCAAGCAAAUAGAAAUAACACCGCAACAAAAACAAAGUUAUAGCACCAGCAGGCGACCAAAUCAGGGUCUGCAAUAGGCAGAGAGGAGGAGGGAAAGGAUGAGAAUGAAUUACUUCUGCGAACGAGUAGGAAAAGAGGACUAAAAAAAUUGAUAACAUUUUUAUUGCCCGCUCGUUUACCUUUAAUCCUCGG